rnacentral:rRNA from 1 species
GAUGAACGCUGGCGGCGUGCCUAAUACAUGCAAGUCGAGCGAAUGGAUUAAGAGCUUGCUCUUAUGAAGUUAGCGGCGGACGGGUGAGUAACACGUGGGUAACCUGCCCAUAAGACUGGGAUAACUCCGGGAAACCGGGGCUAAUACCGGAUAACAUUUUGAACCGCAUGGUUCGAAAUUGAAAGGCGGCUUCGGCUGUCACUUAAGGAUGGACCCGCGGGGAAUUAGCUAGUUGGUGAGGUAACGGCUCACCAAGGCAACGAUGCGUAGCCGACCUGGGAGGGUGAUCGGCCACACUGGGACUGAGACACGGCCCAGACUCCUACGGGAGGCAGCAGUAGGGAGUCUUCCGCAAUGGACGAAAGUCUGACGGAGCAACGCCGCGUGAGUGAUGAAGGCUUUCGGGUCGUAAAACUCUGUUGUUAGGGAAGAACAAGUGCUAGUUGAAUAAGCUGGCACCUUGACGGUACCUAACCAGAAAGCCACGGCUAACUACGUGCCAGCCGCCGCGGUAA